rnacentral:rRNA from 1 species
UACGUAGGGUGCGAGCGUUAAUCGGAAUUACUGGGCGUAAAGCGUGCGCAGGUGGUUGUGUAAGCUUGAUGUGAAAUCCCCGGGCUUAACCUGGGAAUGGCAUUGAGGACUGCACGGCUAGAGUGUGGCAGAGGGGGGUGGAAUUCCGCGUGGUAGCAGUGAAAUGCGUAGAGAUGCGGAGGAACACCGAUGGCGAAGGCAGCCCCCUGGGCUAACCACUGACACUCAUGCACGAAAGCGUGGGGAGCAAACAGGG